rnacentral:rRNA from 1 species
UUGGAGGGCAAGUCUGGUGCCAGCAGCCGCGGUAAUUCCAGCUCCAAUAGCGUAUAUUAAAGUUGUUGCAGUUAAAAAGCUCGUAGUUGAAUUUCGGGAUCAAUUCGCUGGUCGUGCCUUCGGUACGCACUGGUAUUAUUGGUUUCUCCUUUCUGAUGAAUCGCGAUGUCAUUAAUUUGGUGUCGUGGGGAAUCAGGACCGUUACUUUGAAAAAAUUAGAGUGUUUAAAGCAGGCUCACGCUUGAAUACAUUAGCAUGGAAUAAUGAAAUAGGACGUUUGAUUCUAUUUUGUUGGUUUCUAGGAUCGACGUAAUGAUUAAUAGGGAUAGUUGGGGGCAUUAGUAUUCAAUUGUCAGAGGUGAAAUUCUUGGAUUUAUUGAAGACUAACUACUGCGAAAGCAUUUGCCAAGGAUGUUUUCAUUAAUCAAGAACGAAAGUUAGGGGAUCGAAGACGAUCAGAUACCGUCGUAGUCUUAACCAUAAACUAUGCCGACUAGGGAUCGGAUGAUGUUAAUUUUUUAAUGACUCAUUCGGCGCCUUACGGGAAAC